GACGAACGCUGGCGGCGUGCUUAACACAUGCAAGUCGAGCGGUAAGGCCCUUUCGGGGGUACACGAGCGGCGAACGGGUGAGUAACACGUGGGUGACCUGCCCUCAGCUCUGGGAUAAGCCUGGGAAACUGGGUCUAAUACUGGAUAUGACUCCACGGUGCAUGUCGUGGGGUGGAAAGCCUUGUGCGGCUGAGGAUGGGCCCGCGGCCUAUCAGCUUGUUGGUGGGGNGAU
rnacentral:rRNA from 1 species